GAAAAAGUUUUCUUUUCAAAUAUAUUUCAAUGAGUAACGAAGACAUUUUACUGCUAUGCAAAACGGCAAACAAUUGCUUCAAUACUCACCUCGAUAGGAUGCCAAGAACAUUAAAAAAAGUGAAGCGACUCUCCAGCGUUGCUAGAUAGGCCAUAAAUAUGGAAUUCUGACAGAAAUAUGAAGCAGACGAGCAGAGGGAUACCAAAAACCUGAACGAUUUCCUCGUGGCACAGCAGCAAUAUUUCAUCGUGAGUCUGCAGAUAGAAUGCCAAUUUAUCUGGAUGAACAUCAG